rnacentral:rRNA from 1 species
UACCUACGGGAGGCAGCAGUGGGGGAUAUUGCACAAUGGGGGGAACCCUGAUGCAGCGACGCCGCGUGGGCGAUGGAGUGCUUCGGCAUGUAAAGCCCUAUCAGCAGGGAAGAAAAUGACGGUACCUGACUAAGAAGCCCCGGCUAAAUACGUGCCAGCAGCCGCGGUAAUACGUAUGGGGCAAGCGUUAUCCGGAUUUACUGGGUGUAAAGGGAGCGUAGACGGCGAUGCAAGUCUGAAGUGAAAGGCGGGGGCCCAACCCCCGGACUGCUUUGGAAACGGUAUGGCUGGAGUGCAGGAGAGGG